GACGAACGCUGGCGGCGUGCUUAACACAUGCAAGUCGAACGGAAAGGCCCUGCUUUUGGGGGGUGCUCGAGUGGCGAACGGGUGAGUAACACGGGAGUAACCUGCCCUUGACUUUGUGAUAACUUCAAGAAACUGGGGCUAAUACCUGAUAGGAGCUCCUGCUGCGUGGUGGGGGGUGGAAAGUUUCGGCGGUGGGGGAUGGACUCGCGGCUUAUCAGCUUGUUGGUGGGGUAGUGGCUUACCAAGGCUUUGACGGGUAGCCGGCCUGAGAGGGUGACCGGCCACAUUGGGACUGAGAUACGGCCCAGACUCCUACGGGAGGCAGCAGUGGGGAAUAUUGCACAAUGGGCGGAAGCCUGAUGCAGCAACGCCGCGUGCGGGAUGACGGCCUUCGGGUUGUAAACCGCUUUCGCCUGUGACGAAGCGUGAGUGACGGUAAUGGGUAAAGAAGCACCGGCUAACUACGUG
rnacentral:rRNA from 1 species